AAACGCGCUUUUCAGGGAGGGGAGCGUUGCCACGCUCAGGAUGGAGAGUUGUUAUGCUUCUAAUGUGCCUGGCUCGUGCUGGCGUGACACGCGAAGAUGCAGCACAUCUUUAAAACAGCCAAUGCCAGUUCCAAGGACCUGCCUGUAAUUUUAAACACAAGAAUCCAGUAAAACUCAGAUGGCAGCUGGGAGGUGAAAAAGCCAGCGGCGCAUGGUGGGCACGGAAACAAUGACCAGGGAAGUGCUCGUGGCACAGAGGUAGGCACAGCUCUCAGCAAGUGACAGCUCUGCUUAUCCUCCAGGUGUGUUCUACCCCUCCUCCCCAUGUGCCACUUGCUUUGGGCCCUGCAGCAGAGGAAGUUUCAUGGAUCAAACAGAACCAGGUAACAGCCAAAGGGAUGUGAAAAAUGCCGUGGUAC
rnacentral:lncRNA from 12 species